GUCCAAGAUGGCAGACGUCCCUAUGCCUCUCCCGGCGGGCGCUAGCGGGAAGGACUGAACUAUCUGGGGAGCACCAGGACCACUUAGUUGACCAUGAAAUCAUAGACUUGGAAUCCGAGCACUGGAGUGACUGAGCCAGAAAGAUGAGUUCAUGCUAGCCUGUGCUAUAUAAAGACUCCACAAAUGAGACCGGUGACCAGGGGAUGGUGGAUGAGUUAGCAGUCUGCUGGAGUAUUUUUGAUCUACUCAGAAAUGAGGAGCUACAGCCCAGUCAGAUGGCUCAGCCGACUCUUGCUGUCCAACCUGAUAAGUUGGGUUCCAUCCUGGAAACCCAUAUUGUGGAGGGAGAGAAGUGACCCCGAGAGUUAGCCUCUGAUUUGUUUGAGUAUACACACAACUAAGUAAAUGUAUUUAAUUAAAAUAAAAACAAAACAAAAAACCA